UUCAGACUGGUUGCCAACUUUGGGAGAGCUAACAUUUAUUGACUGCUCACUGGGCUGGGCUCUGUGCUGAGGGCUCCACACGCUGUUCCUCCCAUGAUUCUGCCAGGGCUCUCCCUUAUUUGGAGGCAGAUGAAGAAACUCAAGGUCAGAGAAGCUAAGCCCAAGGUCACACAGCAAGUAGGUGGCAGAGCAAGGACCUGAACUCAGGUCUGUCUAAGUCUGCAUCCUGUGCUUUCAGCCAUGAACUCUGACUUCUUCACUGCCCCCUAUAACAGGAAGCUGCCUCCAUGAGAAAAAACGCCCAGCUCAAAAAGGCUUACCCACUUGGAUAUUUAUUAGCUCAUAUUACCAAAAGUCCAGAAAUAGACAAACCCAGGUUGAUAACCUCAGUGGGUCAGUGACCACUUGGGAACUGGUUCUUCCCAUCAUCUCUUGGCAUCCUUGGCAGGUUGGCCUUGACCUCAGCUUUGUCUACUCAACGUGGCAAGGUGGCUGCAGCACCCCCAAGUAUCAUCACCUCAACCAGCAGCACCCACAGGUCCAAAGGUAGAAUGUCCAUCACUGGCCCCUUUAAGUGCAGCAGAGUUCUUUCUCAGGAGAGCCUGCCUCACAGCAGACGUCCUCUCAUUGGUCAGAAUGAUGUCACGUGCCCAUUCCAAAGCCAAUCACCGGCAAAGGGAAGUGAAUAACCAUAAUUGACUUAACUAACUCAAUUCUUCCCCAGCCGAGGCUGGGUUAAGGCCUCACCUCCCGCAAGCACAGGCUCCCCGAGUCAGAACGUGACCUGGAUUCCCUUAGCCCGGAGGACUGAGGGCUGAGAGCCUGGCAACAGCGUCUGAUUGCUGCCCGUCAGCAGCUUCACCGCGAGCUAAUCUGGACUGCAGUCCGACCUCCCGGGCUCCCUCAUGCUCCACGUGAUUGCCAUGGUCAGGAAGGCAGGAAGCAAAAAAUGCAGCUCACCAUCCAGACGCCCUGCCUCGUGCUCCCGCGGACUGGCUGCGCCCCAGACUCGGGUUUCAGUAGAAUCAGGAUGAGCCUGCUGGGCAGCCGGGUCACAGGCCCCUAACUCACCUGCAGACCCACGCAGAUCAGUCUUCGCAGUGAGCUCAGGGCAGACCUCAGCUUUGCUCAAGCCCGGCCCUGCCACAAACAUGCCUCACCUCCUGCCACCUACCCUGGCCGUUCCUCCAGCCAACUGGGCAUGAGAAUGAAAACUCCCACAAGUUCCAUGGGAAUGCAUAUUUGAUGAACUGGAAAAAUAUCAGGCUAACUAAAUAAAAGUUGGAUUUCCCUGAGCCUCACUUGCUGGUCACUGCCCUGUCACUUCUGAAAGUCAUGUGGACUCCAUUAUUUGUUUAUUUUUUUGAGACGGAGGCUCGCUCUGUCGCCCAGGCUGGAGUGCAGUGGCGUAAUCUCGGUUCCCUGCAACCUCUGCCUCCCGUGUUCAAGCGAUUCUCCUGCCUCAGCCUCCCGAGUAGCUGGGAUUACAGGCGCCAUGUUAACCAGGAUGGUCUCGAUCUCCUGACCUCAUGAUCUGCCUGCCUCGGCCUCCCAAAGUGCUGGGAUUACAGGUGUGAGACACCACACCUGGUUAAUUUUUGUAUUUUUUAAUAGCGAUGGGGUUUCACCAUGUUGGCCAGGCUGGUCUUGAACUCCUGAUCUCAAAUAAUCCACCCACCUUGGCAUCCCAAAGUGCUGGGAUUACAGGCAUGAGCCACCACACCUGGCAGGGCCCCAUUAUUACAUCACACACAGAGAGGGUUCUGAAAGGCAGCAGGGGCUGUUGAGGGUGAAAGUCAGUUGUCUUCUGGGUGCAGCUACAGCUAUUCCACCUGUCAUGCAGGUAGCCAUCCACAGUAAACCGUCAGCUUUUCUCCCUUACAUUUUUCUCUUUAUACUUGAGAAUUAUGUUUUCACUUGGGCCAUAAAGACAUUUGGGCUAAGUCACAGGAAAUAGGACGCUGAUAAAUGAGGACUGCAGUUUCUUCUCUUGAACCAUUGAAUACCCCCCGCAGGAAGUACACGGGAGAAAAUAGGAGGGAGAUUGUUUGCGGAGGGCUGCAGCUGAGCAAAAGAACACUGACCAUAAGAUCUGCCCUCUUAACACAUUUUUAAGAGCGUGAUACAGGAUUGUUAACAAUAAGGAACAUGGUUGUUUGUUUUUCUCUUAAUUGCUUUUUUAUUACGAAGCUAAAUGAUUUUUAAGAGCGAAAUUUGAAUAUAAAGAAAAUAAUAGGGCUUUUGACUUUUCUACUACAAGAAGGUGGCUUCCUCAAGGCAUAUGAUUGCAAUCCAAGCGAUGCUAUUUCCAGAUGGUAAACAACCCUCUUUUUUACAAUCAUGUUGCCUACAAGUCUAGGCAGACAACCCUUGGUACUUACAUACACCAGGUACUAGAGAAAAGCUGGAAAAUGCAGCCAGUGGUCUCAAGGCUUUCAAAAAUGAGACCUUAAUAAAGAGUUAAUAUGAA
rnacentral:lncRNA from 1 species